rnacentral:rRNA from 1 species
UACGAAGGGAGCUAGCGUUGUUCGGAAUCACUGGGCGUAAAGCGCACGUAGGCGGAUGUGUCAGUCAGGGGUGAAAUCCCGGAGCUCAACUUCGGAACUGCCUUUGAUACAGCACAUCUGGAGUCCGGAAGAGGUGGGUGGAAUUCCUAGUGUAGAGGUGAAAUUCGUAGAUAUUAGGAAGAACACCGGUGGCGAAGGCGGCUCUCUGGUCCAUGUCUGACGCUGAGGUACGAAAGCCAGGGGAGCAAACGGG